rnacentral:rRNA from 1 species
CUGCGAGUGAAGAGGGAAGAGCUCAUCAUUGGAAUCUGGCAGCGUCUCGCUGUCCGAGUUGUAGAUGAGAAGAGUGGGCCAUCUGGACUGCAUGGUGUCCAAGUACAAUAGGCCGUCAGUGGGACAUCAUAGAGGGUGACAAUCCCGUCCUUGACACCAAUGUACGAGUCCUUUUACGAUGCCUAUCUCGGAGAGUCGAGCAGUUUGGGAUUUGCUGCUUAAACAUGGGAGGUAGAUUCCUUCCAAAGCUAAAUACAGGCAAGAGACCGAUAGAGAACAAGUACCGCAAGGGAAAGAUGAAAUAGAACUCUGUGAAGGGAGUCAAAAGACGUGAAAUUGUUGCGAGAGAAGCGAUUCAAGUCAGCGUAGCUGGGCCCAUCAAGCCUCGCGCUUUGGACCAGCUUUGCCAGCGGUCUUGUCCUAGAGACUCGACUAAGGUGCCCUGCCCGGUCUGACGGGCAGACCUUCCCCCCUGGGGGAGGCCAGCGGCACGGCUGGUGGAAUGGCUUGCAAUCGACCCGUCUUGAAACACGGACCAAGGAGUCUAACAUGCAUGCGAGUAUAAGGGUGGCAAACCCGUAUGCGCAAAGAAAGUGAUAGCCUUUACGGCUGUGAAUGACCUGAUGACCAGACAAGCGAUAUCAUGUCCCUCGUACGGUCAUUGCCCAAGUCCCGUGGUCAGAUCCCAUGGACAUGGAGUUGGAGCGUGCAUGCUAGGACCCGAAAGAUGGUGAACUAUGCCUGGACAAAGCGAAGCCAAAGGAAACUCUGGUGGAGGCUUGUAGCGAUUCUGACGUGCAAAUCGAUCGUCUGAUCUGGGUAUAGGGGCGAAAGACUAAUCGAACCAUCUCAUA